rnacentral:tRNA from 2 species
GAGCCAUUAGCUCAGCUGGUAGAGCAUCUGACUUUUAAUCAGAGGGUCGAAGGUUCGAGUCCUUCAUGGCUCACCA